GACGAACGCUGGCGGCGUGCCUAACACAUGCAAGUCGAGCGGGGGGAGUACUUCGGUACAAACCUAGCGGCGGGCGGGUGAGUAACACGUGGGUAACCUGCCUCAAAGUGGGGGAUAGCCUUCCGAAAGGAAGAUUAAUACCGCAUAACCCAUAGCUUCCGCAUGGAAGGAAUGGUAAAGAUUUAUCGCUUUGAGAUGGACCCGCGGCGCAUUAGCUAGUUGGUGAGGUAACGGCUCACCAAGGCCACGAUGCGUAGCCGACCCGAGAGGGUGAUCGGCACAUUGGAACUGAGACACGGUCCAGACUCCUACGGGAGGCAGCAGUGGGGAAUAUUGCACAAUGGGCGAAAGCCUGAUGCAGCAACGCCGCGUGAGUGAUGAAGGCCUUCGGGUUGUAAAGCUCUGUCUUUUGGGACGAUAAUGACGGUACCAAAGGAGGAAGCCACGGCUAACUACGUGCCAGCCGCCGCCGUAAAAC
rnacentral:rRNA from 1 species